rnacentral:rRNA from 1 species
CCCUGCACAAUGCGUGUGGAGCAAUGUGGUUAAAUUCGAAUGCAACGCAGCAGAACCUUACCAUCCUUUUGACAUGGCGUGUUACGUGGCAUGAGAUUCACGGUCCACUUUCGGUGGCGCUGCACACAGGUGCUGCAUGGCUUGUCGUCAGCUCUGUGUCGUGAGAUGUUGGGUUAAGUCCCUGCUAACGUAGCGCUACCCUACUGUCCUUAGUUGCCAUCAUUCAGUUGGGCACUCUAGGGAACUGCCAGGUGAUAACCGCGAGGAAGGUGUGGAUGACGUCAAGUCCUCAUGGCCCUUACGGGAUGGGCUACACAUCGUGCUACAAUGGCGUGUGACAGUGGGACGCGAAGCCUGCGAAGGUGAU